rnacentral:rRNA from 1 species
GUCCACGCUGUAAACGAUGUCAACUAGCCGUUGGGGACCUUCGUGUCCUUGGUGGCGUAGCUAACGCGCUAAGUUGACCGCCUGGGGAGUACGGUCGCAAGAUUAAAACUCAAAUGAAUUGACGGGGCCCGCACAAGCGGUGGAGCAUGUGGUUUAAUUCGACGCAACGCGAAGAACCUUACCAGGUCUUGACAUCCAGAGAAGUCGCUAGAGAUAGCUUCGUGCCUUGGGAACUCUGAGACAGGUGCUGCAUGGCUGUCGU